GAUCAAGAUGGUCGACCUGCAUUGCUCAAAUCUAAUUUGGUCCCAAACGAGACACGUGGAUUUGUAGGUUGGGUAGAGUUGACAGGUAAAUCCAUGAAUUUUUCCUUUGGAUCCCAACAUAAAUUUUAUUUGUUAAAAUAUAGAUUCGAUUUUGUGAACAGAUAAAAUCGUAAAACCCCAACGGCACUGGCAAAGUAGUAACCUUCCCGUCUUUGCUGUUUCUGGGAACCGGAUUCCGGCGGCUGCGUGAAUCCUAUCCGGCGACGGCAACGGAAUAAUGCCGGGGAAGCGGCCCGAGCUCAGCCACUUCACUGGCCGACUCCUUUCUUCCGCCCCAACCACCGCUGAUUCUUGGGAUCCUCCCCGACGAAAGCCCUCCUCAUAACAGUAGCGAUCAAGAAGAAAGAAGAAGAAAAGAACGACAGACGGUAGCAGAGAAAAAAAUGUGCGACCAAACUCCUCCAGAUCCUCUCCCUCCUCUCCCCACCUCCCUCUCCCAAAUCCCUUCUUUCUUCCCUCAACCAAACCCUAACCCUAAUCCGGACCCUAACCCUGAUUCUAACUUCCACAUCCAAAUCUCCUUCCAAGGCAAGCGCAAGCGCACCGGCGUCCGCCGCAAGGCCUCCCAGCUUCCCUCCCUUCACCCCACUCCCCCUCCCCCUUCUCUUCCCCCUCCGCUGCUUCCCGGCGACCCCAAUCCCAUCAAGAACCUGCCUGAAAACCCCAACCCCGCCGCCGAUAUCUCCGAGGAGAUCAUCGUCAUCAACAAGGAGGCCACCACCGAGGCCCUGACCGCCCUCACCGCCGGCUUCCCCGCCGACUCCCUCACCGAGGAGGAGAUCGAGGCCGGCGUCGUUUCCUCCAUCGGCGGCAUCGAGCAGGUUAACUACAUCCUCAUCCGCAACCACAUCCUCUCCAAAUGGCGCGAGAACGUCUCCAAUUGGCUCACCAAGGAGAUCUGUUCCUUUUCGAUCCCGCCCCACUGCGAGACCCUCUUGAAUUCGGCAUACAAUUUCCUUGUUUCGCAUGGGUACGUGAACUUCGGGAUCGCUCCAGCGAUCAAAGAGAAGAUUCCGGCAGAGCCGACCAGGCCAAAUGUGAUUAUCAUCGGAGCUGGGCUGGCGGGGUUGGCUGCCGCGAGGCAACUGAUGAUAUUUGGAUUUAAAGUCGUCGUCUUGGAGGGGAGGAAGAGGUGUGGGGGGAGAGUGUAUACAAAGAGAUUGGAGGGGUCUAACAAGUUUGCUGCUGCUGAGUUGGGUGGGAGUGUUUUAACAGGGACCCUCGGAAACCCGCUCGGGAUCAUUGCCAAACAGCUUGGUUCAACACUCCAUAAGAUCAGAGAUAAGUGUCCCUUGUAUAGGCCCGAUGGCGAGCCAGUGAAACAGGAGAUAGAUAUCAAGGUGGAGAAUGCCUUCAACCGGCUGUUGGACAAGGCGAGCCGGCUGAGGCAGUGUAUGGGAGAGGUUGCUAUGGAUGUGUCACUAGGGGCUGCUCUGGAGACCUUCCGGCAAGUGUACGGAGAUGCCGUGACUGAAGAAGAGAUGCAAUUGUUCAAUUGGCACUUGGCGAAUCUGGAGUAUGCAAAUGCCGGGCUUCUCUCCAAGCUUUCGCUAGCAUUUUGGGACCAGGACGAUCCAUAUGAUAUGGGUGGUGACCACUGCUUCUUGCCUGGAGGGAAUGGACGGUUGAUUCAGGCUCUUGCUGAGAAUGUUCCGAUCAUUUAUGAGAAGACAGUGCAUACGAUCCGUUAUGGUGGGGAUGGAGUGCAGGUUGUUGCGGGGGGGCAGGUUUAUGAGGGGGAUAUGGCAUUGUGCACAGUACCACUAGGAGUUUUGAAGAAUGGGUCCAUAAAAUUUGUACCGGAGCUGCCUCAGAGGAAGCUUGAUGGCAUAAAGAGGUUGGGAUUUGGCUUGUUGAAUAAGGUUGCCAUGCUAUUCCCUUAUGUUUUCUGGAGCACAGACCUCGAUACAUUUGGGCAUUUGUCAGAUGUUUCAAGUCGUCGAGGGGAGUUCUUUUUAUUCUAUAGUUAUGCUACGGUAGCUGGUGGUCCACUCUUAAUUGCAUUGGUUGCAGGGGAAGCAGCACACAACUUUGAAAGUAUGCCUCCAACAGAUGCUGUGACAGUGGUUCUUCAGAUUCUAAGGGGUAUCUAUGAACCACAAGGAAUUGAAGUUCCAGACCCUCUCCAAAGUGUUUGCACUAGAUGGGGUACUGACUCCUUCAGUUUAGGUUCCUAUUCUCAUGUUUCUGUGGGAGCAUCUGGAGAUGACUAUGAUAUUUUAGCAGAAAGUGUUGGAGAUGGGCGGCUCUUUUUUGCUGGUGAGGCCACCACGAGGCGUUACCCUGCAACCAUGCAUGGUGCUUUCAUUAGUGGCCUGCGAGAAGCUGCUAAUAUGGCUCACCAUGCUAAUGCUCGAGCAUUGCAAAUAAAAGCGGAAAGGAGCCCAUCAAAGAACACUCAGGCAUGUGCUGCACUCCUAGCAGAUUUGUUUAGGGAACCUGAUAUAGAAUUUGGAAGCUUUUCUGUUAUUUUUGGCCGCAAAUCAUCUGAUCCCAAAUCUACAGCAAUCUUAAGAGUUGCAUUAGGUGGUCCAAGAAAGAAGAGUAGUAAUGAGGGAACAAAAGCAGACCAACAACAUUCAAAUAAGUUGCUAUUUCAGCAGCUCCAAUCACAUUAUAAUCAGCAGCAGCAGCUUCAUGUCUACACAUUGUUAUCCCGGCAACAGGCUAUGGAGUUAAGAGAGGUGAGAGGAGGGGAUGAGAUGAGGCUACAUUAUCUGUGUGAAAAGCUUGGCAUAAAGUUGGUUGGUAGAAGAGGUCUGGGUCCAGCGGCUGAUUCUGUUAUUGCUUCCAUCAAGGCUGAGAGGGGCAACCAUAGAACCAAUUCAGCUUCAUUAGACUGAAUGACAUACAUGAACAAGAGUUUCAUCACUUACGAACAGAAUCAUCAUCGGACAAGCUAAGCUGAUCUCUCUUAGGUUUUGCUGCUCGUGACAAUGUUAGGAGGGCAUCCAAACGUACCAGCAAUGGGGGAUUUAAGUAUCCAUGUAAGCUUGGCUUCUUUUGUGGCAGGCAACUUUUUCGAAUUCUUAUAGCUCGUACAAAUUGUAUGCGUGGAAAGCAGAUAUUAAUAUGGAAAUAAAUACAAUUGGAUAUGGAAUGCUCUGCAGAUCAAGGGAAAGGAGGGAGCUUCAGAAAUAAACUCAAUCCAAUAUAAAAUUCUAUGCAGAUCAGAGAAGAGAUAAAUACAAACGUAUUUCUUCUCUCUCUCUCUCUCUCUCUCUCUCUCUCUCUCUCUGAGUGUAGAAGACAGACGUAUUUCAGAGGGUGGGUCAACAAAAUUCCGAAAUCCAGAGAUCUGAUGCCACGGCACUAUACGGAAUGCAUAUCAGCUUGUUCUUUGAAAUCUAGACAUUUGAUGGACCUGGAUGGCUGGAUACCAUGUGUACUACACCCGAUUGCUGGUCAUGAUCAACAAACCAAUUAGAUUAUAGCCUGCAUUUCUGAAAUGUCUGCAACUGUAGCCUCACUUUUUUUUCAAUGGUUUUCUUCUGAUAUAUACGCCUCCCAGGUCAAGUUAUAAGCCCAAAGGAGUUGAGUUGUUGAACAUGUCUUUCAGAUCCAGAUUCCCCUCACUGGUUUCUUUUUUUGUGUCAUCUGUCCCAGUUGAUUAUCCAGGUUCGUGCAUAUGCUUUCUGCGCUACUGCAGACAUUAGCAAUUUCUCAUCCUCUUUCAUGUCUCAGAAGUCGGAACAAUUUCUGAUCAAUUAGCAUCAUAUGGAAAAGUUUCAUUU